GCCGGCGUAGCUCAGUGGUAGAGCAACGGUUUUGUAAACCGUAGGUCGUGGGUUCAAAUCCCUCCGCCGGCUCCA
rnacentral:tRNA from 1 species